UGCAGGCGGUUGGCGCCGUUGGUCUCGCGAAGUCGAGUCGGUUCUCUUUCCUCCGCACGCUGACCCCCUCUGCACACUGCAGAGAACGGCCCUCCGGUGAGGGUGGGACAGCACCGCGAAGGCGGUGGGCUCCGGCCCCGCCCGGCCCGCAAAGGGGCCUUGCACGUGGGUUUCCAGGGAGAGGGCACCGAUCGGAGCGCAGAAGCCCGUCGAAGGCAGGGCUGAGGCCACCGCGGCGUGCGAGGGAGGAAACUGCCAGGACCCCCAGUCGAGGACGUGGGCGGAUGGAGAACGAGCCCGUUUAUCCAUGAAACUGCCACGGGCUGGCCGGGCCUGUGCGUUUUCUAAAUUGGUGGCUGCUUGAAGAACCCAAGGUGGACUCUUGGGGAGAAUAUGAUAAAGGCUGCUGUUGAGGCUGGGCCGUAGGCAUCUGCUCUGGAGUCUAGCUUCCUUCUGACACAUAAAGGAUGGAUCCAGCACCUUGGAAACAGGCCCGGGAGCUGAAGUCCCAGGACAGGCCAGGACCUGGCCACAUGUGGACCAUCUGUCUCUGUCCAUAGCCAUAGACCAUCAGGAACAAAGUUGGAUUUACUGAUUUGUUGCAAUGAGGGAGACUGCGUACCUGUCUCUAUGAGUCCAGGGACAUCUCAGUCCAAAGGUGUUACAAAGGACUUACAAUAGAACUUGUGUUAGGUACUGUGGGGGCAGUUUCAAGGAAGCGGGAUCAAUUCUAUGAUUGGGUAUCUCAAUUUUUAUAUAGAACGGGAAACACAAGCAGCAGAGCUAAAGCUGUGGUUGGUAAAGAGUCAGCCUUCACUUGUGUUAGCUUGGGGUGGGGAACGUUGGUUUUUAUGGUUUACACAGUGGCCAUGAUUUUGUCUGCCCUCAGACAUGACCAUGGAAUGGUCCUGUAUUGUCAGACUUUGGGAUCUGUGAGACUGACUCUGUUCUACAGCAGAACUUCACAGUCUAGCUGUGAGCCCCUGGCUGGUCCGAGCCUGCUGCCAUGGACUGUUUUCUCUUUCUCGCUGCAAAGGUAAAGCCUUGACCCUCAACUUGCAACCUUCUCUCCUACUCUCAUAUCUUCAUGGUGGGAUAACGAUCAUCCCACUGGAAGAGGAAGAACGGAUGGAUGAGAAUAAGGAGAGAGAUUUGUGGGAGGUAGACUGGGGAGGGAAUAGCAUCUUAGCUUAAAAUAUCCAUAUCUCUGUCACCUGUACAGAUCCAGGGUUCCCUUCCUCUCUCUGGAUAGAAUGGGAUUCCAAAGCCAUGUUGGCAGGGGUGGGGCAGGAAGUAGGGUAGGAGGGAUUAGGAUAUGAUUGCUGAGCAGGUGAUUUCUGAAUUAAUGAAAGAAGGUCCAGUAAAGGGGUGGGGAAGGCAAUAAGAAGUGGUCAUUCUUAGCACAGAUAAUCCUCACUUAGAAAUACAAUCCACUCCCUUAGGAAACCGAGGUAGCGUGAUCAUACAACCCAAUUUUCUGGUACAUCCAGUUAUAAUACCUUUAUUAUAACUAUUCGAUUACCUGGGAUAUAGUUUUGCUACAAACGAUCUGGGCUUAUACAAAUCAAUUUUUGUAGUGAAGAGAAUCCAUUACUUGUCUGAUCCUCUGAGGAACAGACCGCAAAAUGGGGUUAGACGUGCAAGAGGGUUAUUUGGGGAAACACCUGUGAGGGAACAAGGAUUUGAGGGAGCAGGAACAGGCAGGGGGAGCCUUCAGACAUAUAAGCCCAGC